rnacentral:rRNA from 1 species
UACGAAGGAUCCAAGCGUUAUCCGGAUUCAUUGGGUUUAAAGGGUGCGUAGGCGGUUUUGUAAGUCAGUGGUGAAAUCUCCCAGCUUAACUGGGAAACUGCCAUUGAUACUGCAGAACUAGAGUACAGAUGACGUUGGCGGAAUGUGUCAUGUAGCGGUGAAAUGCAUAGAUAUGACACAGAACACCGAUUGCGAAGGCAGCUGACGAAACUGCAACUGACGCUGAUGCACGAAAGUGCGGGGAUCAAACAGG